rnacentral:sRNA from 1 species
GCCGGGUGCGGUGGCUCAUGCCUGUAAUCCCAGCACUUUGGGAGGCUGAGGCGGGUGGAUCACCUGAGGUCAGGAGUUCGAGGCCAGCCUGGCCAACAUGGUGAAACCCCGUCUCUA